GGCCGACCUCCCAACCCUUUGUUUACAGAACCUCUGUUGCUUCGGCGGACCCGUCUCACGACCGCCGGAGGACCGCCGAGAGGCGUCCUCUGGUCAGUGUCCGUCGAUAGCCCAAACUGAAACCCUGAAUGAAUCGUGUCGUAUGUCUAAGUCUAAGAUUAAAUAAAGCAAAACUUUCAACAACGGAUCUCUUGGUUCUGGCAUCGAUGAAGAACGCAGCGAAAUGCGAUAAGUAAUGCGAAUUGCAGAAUUCCAGUGAGUCAUCGAAUCUUUGAACGCACAUUGCGCCCUUUGGUAUUCCGAAGGGCAUGCCUGUUCGAGCGUCAUUAUCACCCCUCAAGCCCUGUGCUUGGUGUUGGAUGGCCGGCCGCGCGAGUGACCCCUCCCAAAGACAAUGACGGCGGCCUGUGGUUCCCCCGGUACACUGAGCUUUUCACCGAGCACGUGUCGGAUAAGGGCGCCCGGGACACGGUCCUCUCCUCUCACGAGGAAAUUUUAUCAAGGCUGACCUCGGAUCAGGUAGGAAUACGCGCUGAACUUAAGCAUAUCAAUAAGCGGAG
rnacentral:rRNA from 1 species